CAUGCCUAUCUGCUCAUCUAACUGUACUGAUCGCUUCUGAUUCGUUAGUCUUCUAUGAGCAACUUCAUAGUUCUAUUCGAUGACUGCUAAGCUUCAUUUCUGCCGCCUCCAAAAUGUUUGUUUGCUUUUGUCCUCCCAAAAGGUGGUGGCUUUUAUUUUCAUCUUUAUUUUUACCAUGUUUUAUUCAGUAAAAAGUUUAUUAAAAGAAAACCCAUAAACCUGUAAUGAUCUUUUACAGUACCUGAAUCUUUUCCCCCCAUAAAACUACUAAUUCGGCUACCUGAGAUCAUGAUGACGACCCUUUAACUUGUCAUUGAAGAUCUGUACAAAAUAAUUAGAUCUAUAUACAGAGGAUUUGUUUGAUGAAGUUUUGAUCUUGUGGAUUUUAUAAAUAAAACGACAUUGUAAUUGGAAUUUCCGGAGACUAGUGAAUCUUUAUCUUUCCCUAUGCAGACCCUUUGUUUGAGCCUCUAAAACUAUUGUUGAACUUGAAUGAAUGAAAUGAAAUGUGAUUCAAGUGUUUUCCUGAAUUUAUGUGUUGAAUAUUCCAAAUUUAUUGAUGACAUGUGCAUAACACUAAAUUGGUUGCGUCUCAUAUGUAUUUUCCCAAUGUCCUAAAAUAUGUCAAUGUUGGUUAUUCAUUCAAAAUUUUAUGAAGAUAAUAUGUUACAAAUUACCGUGUGUACAUGGGUUGAAGAUAUUUCACCUUCCCCUUUCUCAUUCAAUGUCUUUUGGUACAGGAGAUGAAAUGACGCGAGUUUUCUGGAAAUCCAUAAAGGAUAAGGUGGCUACAUCACACUCUUAAGGGCUCCCAUCAAUACUAGUUUUUCUCAAUAUAUACUUUUUCUGAUCAAGAUAAAGAUUGCUUAUAUGCUUAUUACUUGUAUCUGCAGCUUAUUUUACCCUUUUUGGAAUUGGACAUCAAGUACUUUGACCUUGGUCUUCCUCAUCGUGAUGCCACUGAUGAUAAAGUUACUGUUGAAAGUGCAGAGGCUACUCUUAAGUACGUUUUAUUUCAACUCUACUUGAAGUUCUACAAAUGAAUAUUUAUCUCUGAAGUCAACAUUUCUAUCUCUAAUGUGGUGUGGGUUAGUGAUUAGUGAGUUAGGAUGGUGAUUAGGCAGUACAGAAAGUUGUUUUAUGCUACCCUUUUGGCCUUAUGGAACCUCCUUCCUGCACCUUAUAAAGACGGGGUGGAGGGUGAGAGAAUUCAGUUCCCGAGUGCAUUCAAUUCACAUCAUAUGUUUGUGUACAAGGGGGAAAAAGAAGAAAAAAGGGAGCCUAAAGUAUGUUUUUUAUUUUCACGUAUUAUUAUGGUAUUAAUUUUGCAUCUCUAACACUUGGUAUUUUAGGUACAAUGUAGCAAUCAAAUGUGCAACUAUCACUCCAGGUAUACACUACUGAAGAAUUUAACACUUCUGUUGCCAUAUUAAUAUUUUCAGUCAGCACUGAGAAAUGGACGAAUUCCAUAUUAUUGUGGUUGUAAUUAACAGAUGAAGGUCGUGUUAAGGAGUUUAACUUGAAGAGUAUGUGGAGGAGUCCCAAUGGCACUAUUAGGAAUAUUUUGAAUGGUUAGUGAACUGGCAACUAUACAUUUUCAUCUUUUGAACAAUUUUGUGGCUAAAUUACAAUGGCUGCUGGCUUUUUCUACAGGUACUGUUUUCAGAGAACCAAUUCUUUGCAAAAACAUCCCUCGCCUUAUCCCAGGUAUGAUAAUUUCAUAUUGUGGCUCUAUAUUUUUGUUGGAGUAGAACCAUGUUGAUUGUUGCUGUUUCCAGGCUGGACAAAGCCAAUAUGCAUUGGAAGACAUGCUUUCGGUGAUCAGUAUCGAGCAACUGAUGCUGUCAUUAAAGGACCUGGGAAACUGAAAUUGGUGUUUGGUAUAUAUCUUUGCUUGAGACUAGGGGAUUUGUAUACAUAAAAUUUAAUCUAGUUAGGAUUAUCUAUUCAAAGUACAUCUUGAUAAAAAUAAAAAUAAAGUUCUUACAUUCCUUUAGUUUCUUGUCUUAUUACUUGAUAAAUGCUUGCAGUGCCAGACGGAAAGGAUGAGAAAACAGAACUAGAGGUGUACAACUUCACAGGUGAGGGGGGAGUAGCAUUGGCCAUGUACAACACUGAUGAGGUUUGGUUUGCUAAUCCUUUCGUGUUUCCGUUGAAAGAACCUCUUGAUAUCUGUGAGUCACUCUGUUUGUUCCUUUUGUUGUAUGUGUUUCUUCGGCAUGCAGUCCAUCCGUGCUUUUGCAGAGGCUUCCAUGACCACUGCUUAUGAGAAAAAGUGGCCUCUUUAUCUUAGCACAAAGAACACUAUUCUUAAGAAGUAUGAUGGAAGGUAUGCAGAUUAUAAAUUACCCUGUUUUUAAGUAUUUGACCUUUAACAUUUUGACUUAUCAUUCUCUGACCUAUCUAUAUUUUUGUUUGUUAAUGAGAUAAGAUUCAAGGACAUAUUUCAAGAAGUUUAUGAAGCCAAGUGGAAGUCACAGUAUGAGGCUGCUGGCAUAUGGUAAGGACUGAAGAGCCUGAUGAUUUUAUUUCAUUUUUAUUUAACAUUAUGGAUCUUCAGGUUAAAUUAUGUUAUUGACUAUAUUUUAUUCGAUUGGAAGGUACGAGCACCGUCUCAUUGAUGAUAUGGUGGCUUAUGCACUUAAAAGUGAUGGUGGGUAUGUUUGGGCAUGCAAGAAUUAUGAUGGAGAUGUGCAGAGUGAUUUCUUAGCUCAAGGUUUGUAUGGCAGACUGUCAGCUAACUUUUGUUUCGUCUAUCAUCAAAGAUUUCGUAUGCAGAGGAAUGCAAUUUUUAACUUAUGGUUCCAUUGUAGGGUUUGGCUCUCUUGGAUUGAUGACAUCAGUACUGGUAUGUUAUAACUGUUUCAUGUGUAUACUCUCUCCCCCAUCCCCUCUCCCGUCCUCUGUCAAGAUUCUUUUUUGUCAUGUGAAUCCUUGUACUUCACUUACUAGGGUAUUUCAUGGUUACAGGUGUGCCCAGAUGGAAAGACUAUAGAAGCAGAAGCUGCCCACGGUACAGUUACUCGGCAUUACAGGGUUCACCAGAAAGGAGGUGAAACCAGUACAAACAGCAUAGCUUCUAUCUUUGCUUGGACAAGAGGGCUUGCACACAGGUAUGUUAUAAAGUUUACUUUCCAAGUUAGUGCUCCUUGUGGAUAUAAGGUUCAUUGUUAAAAUGAUUAAAUGUGUCUUCUUGACAGGGCAAAGUUGGAUGACAAUGCAAAGCUUUUGGAUUUCACUCAGAAACUGGAAGAAGCUUGCAUUGGAACUGUGGAAUCUGGGAAAAUGACCAAGGAUCUUGCACUCAUUAUUCAUGGACCUAAGUAAGUAUCAAAAAAAUUAUUAUAUCUUCAUAAUAUAUGUCUCUGCUGGUGUGUGGGUUAUGUUUAUUUAUUUGUAUGUCUCUAUAUGAGCAGUGAUUUCAUUUAUAACAUGCUUAUGUAUGCUGCAGGCUUGCUAGGAACCACUACUUGAAUACGGAAGAGUUCAUUGAAGCUGUGGCAGAGGAACUCAGAGCAAGGCUUUCUUGAAAGAAUAGUUGUACGUGAGGGGUUUGCAGACUUGACUCUAUGCAUUGGUUGUUACUUCCUUGCCCAUUUUAUGCUUUAUUUUUUCUGCUGUUUAGAAAAUUUAUCUUAUGCUUAUGUAAAAUAGCGUUAGCUAAAACCUGUCAUAGGUGGCAACUUUUAAUACACAUGAUCUGAAUUUGAUGUGAAAUAUGAAUUGCCAUUUGGAUAUUGUUAGCUGCUCUUAUUUCCUUGUGAUUUUCAUGUCUUCUGUAGAAACUGUCUUACCCUCUCCCUCUUUUCUUCAUUUUUAGAAAUAUCUUUCUCAUUUGAUACUUGCAUUUAUGCAUUUUUUUAAAAGUUAAUGAGUGCUGGGUUUUGUUUCAGGGAUAGACAACUGUGGACUUGUCCUUUUGUACUCCCGAAAGAAAUAAUGGAAGGCGGAAUCUUUCCCCUCUGGUGGUUAGAGAUGUUGACUCAUCUGUUUUUAGUGUAUUAGUUUCUUGUGCACAAUUUAAUUGCUCGACUCUUACUGAUUUGAAUGUUCUUUCUUCAUCAGUUUGCUUCCGCAAGCAAGUUUGACCUUUUUCAUGGCUAAGCCAAUUUUAGUGAUUUCCAGCAAGAAAUCAAGUUUUAGAAGCUCUGUUUGCAAAAAUGACAUUUGAAAAUCACCUCUGUGGUUUGUAGCCCAAGUGUGUAAUGGUUCUGAUCUUUUCUUGGCUAUUUCAAGAACAGACAACUUAUGGUCUCUGAAGUUCAUUUGAAAUUUAGAACCAUGCAAUACAGUUCUGAUCUUUUUCAUUGGUCAGAUUUCGAUUCCCAUUUCAACCGAGAUAGGAAAGCUAUGAGAUUGCAAUUGAAAUUUUUGGUUUCCUGCUGCAAAAAUUGCCUACUGCGGGCUUUUUUAAAACACAAAUGUUGAAGAACGAAAUUUUAGACUUGGAAUUACUAAAACCAACAGAGGUUGUGUGUCUGAUUUCCUUGCAAACAGAUUUGAACAAUCAUUGGUAAAUCCAUAUCCGGAAAAGGACAUAGAAUGGUUAAGCCUAUUGAUCUCCAUGCCCUACUGCUACCGUAGUCAUUAGGUAUAAGAUAGAAUGUUGAUUUUAAGUGCACUCUCCCUAUUUUCUCCAUGCAGAACCCGCCGUAUGGAGAUGUAAGCAUAAAUGGAAAUGUAGAACUUUUGUACAUUCUCUGAUGAGAUGUAGGUUUGACAUAACAUUUCGGAGUAUUGGAGUGUAAUUUUAGGUGCCUGGAUGUGUAAUUGUUAUUCAGAUUGAGAUGCUCUUAUUCUCGCACGGUGAUAAACCUGACCUACAUUUCUAUGACGAUAUUUAUUGCGAGGCUCUAGUCAUUUUCAGCAGGGGCGGUCCUACCCUAAGGGCAAUACAAUCAAUCAAAUUUCUUCUGUCUACUCAAACUCAACCCACCAGGGGUGAUCAUACCCUAAGGAUAGAGUAGGCAGCUGCCUACUCCAUUUUUUGCCAAACGAAAAAUUACCCAAUACAAUCAAUUUUCUUCUGCCUACUCAAACCCAACCUACUCAAAAUUUUCCCUUUAACAAAAACAGUAUCCCCACCCACUCAAACUUUCUCCUUUAACAAAAACAAUCAAAAGCAAUAUAAGCAUGUGAAAGUUGUAUGAAUUUUUUUUUCAAUGCUGACUAACAUUGUGAAUUUUGUUAGUGCUUCUGCUAAGCGCCGUAAUAAGUUAAAUUUAAUUCGAAAAGCUCAACUCAAAGAGUAGUUGGAUUCUUGGGAACUUGAGACAGGUAGAGGACUUAAUCAAGGUCGUAGUUUGAAACGAGCUGGAGCCACUCGUUGGGGAUCUCACUUUGCCUCUAUUACAAGUUUGAUGAGUUUAUUUAAAGAGACUAAAAUACUUCUCUAGGAAAUCAAUGAUUAUGGACCUAACCAACAAUUUCGUGGCGAUGCAUGAUGUAUUUUGAGUUUGUGUUUUCAUUUCUUUUGAUGGAUAAAAUUAUGGGAUUAACCAACUUUCUUUGUCAAGUGUUUCAGACAAAAACUCCAGAUAUUGUAAGUGCUUUAAACUUUGUUGAAAACACAAAAUUACAGUUCUAAGAUAUGAGGGCACAUGGCUGGGAUGAUUUAUUCAUGAGCGUGGUAUCAUUUUGUAAACAACAUGAUAUUGAUGUUCCUGAUAUGAGUUUUUGUUACAUGAUUGGCACACGUCGUUCUUGUCAACAAAAAGAUUUUAUUACAGUUAAACAUUAUUAUCGCGUUAAUGUAUUUAAUGAUGUGAUAGAUUGCAUGUUGAGGGAGUUAAAUGACAGAUUUCCAAAGCAAACAGUUGAACUUCUUAUUCUUGGAUCCUCAUAAUUCCUUCAAAUCAUUCAAUAUUGGGCAUCUACGUAAACUUGUUGAGAAAUUCUAUCAUACUGAUUUCAGUCCAAGUGACUUGAAAGCUUUAGAAAUUGAGUUGAACUAUUUUCAAAAUGAUAUUCAUAGCCUUCCCUGCUUUAAGGACCUCACCACUCUUCCUCAGUUAUGUCAACAAUUGGCGGAAACAACUUUGGCAGAAAACUACCAUUUGCUUUACAAGUUGAUUCAGUUGGUGUUGACUCUUCCUGUUUCUACAGCAACAACGGAACGAGCUUUUUCAUGUAUGAGAAUUAUUAAGAAUAGACUUCAGAGCACCAUAGCUGAUGAAUUCCUUAUUGAUUGCAUGAUUCUCCACAUUGAAAGAAAGUUUGCUAAUAAUAUCGACAAUUAAGAUAUAAUUGAGGAAUUUAAGAUUUCUAAGCCUCGUAGGGUAAAGUUUUAGAUUUAAAUAGUUUAGUUUUGUGUUGCAUUGCAUUUACUCUUUGUUUUUUUUGUUAAGCUUUUAUUUAUGUAUAGAUAUGCAUACAUUACGUCCCCCCUGACUAGAUGUAUCUUUUUAUUUUUAUAAAUAAAAUUCACUCAAUUUUUAGGUGGUGAUUUUUCCACUCCCUUUUUAUCCCCUACACUCUCUUUUGUUUUUUUUUUUAAAUACUUUUUACUAUAAGAUAAAAAGGAGUGUAAUUGAACCAAAGAGGAGUGAGAACAUACAAUUUUUUUAAAAAUGGAGUGUAAGUGGAUAAAAAGGAAGUGGGAAAAUUAGUACCCUUAUUUUUUAAUUAAAAUUUAGCUAAAAACACUAAAAACUAUUUUAGGAGCUACUUAUAAAAUUUGAACUCCAACCAUGCUCCCUAGGGAAUCAUAAAUGAUUUAUUUCUUUUUUAAGUUUAGCAUAAAUGCUCCCUCUUCAUAUUAAAAAAAAAAAUUGUGGUUAGCAUUAAAUAAAUACUUAAAAUAGCAUUAAAGUAAAGCAACAUUUAAUUAUAAGGAGGCACUAGGAGUCAUUUCUCUCUCCUUAGAUUUAGGAGUUCCUAGAAGUCUCCCUAUUUUAGGAGUUGGAGCAUGUUGGAUGUGGAUUUUCUCACUUCUUCCCUAAAUUUUAUCUAAGGAGGUAGUUUAGGAAAUCCAUUAAAGGAGGUCGGUUGAGUUCUAAUGAUAGUGUUACUUUCAACCAUGAGUGCCAUUGAAUGGUACUUGAGUCCAUAGGGCCAUAAUGUGGAUGACGUCGGGAUCAAUCUCACCUACACUUCUAUGAUGAUAUUCUCUAGUCAUUUUCACCUUUUGCUUGAUGGAGAUAGUCUCCUUAGGCAUUUAAGAAGUUGGAAGAAAACUAGGCAUUAAAGUGAUAAAAAAAGAUUACGUUUUUUUGUCAAAAGUAAUCAUAAAAGAUUAGUUUGCAAUUUUGAAUGAGAGAAUUGUUGCAACUUGCGUAUUCAUGAAGCCAGAAAUGUUUUCCAGGAAUGUUUGCAAUUUGGCUAUCUAGAAUAGAUGCAUUUCCAUAAGCCAGAAAGGUUUUCCAGGAACCUUAUUGUAAUUGCUAGUGCUUCUUCUGAAAAUACCUUUAUAUCCAUAAGUACUUCUAAAUUAUACUGCCAAAAACACUUAUUGAACAGUUUUAGUCAUUCCAGAAGCACUUCCAUAUGUAUUUCUAGGGAUGGCAAUGGGUCGAGUAGGGGUCGGGUAUAACAAUACCAUUCCCGUCCCCGCUCUCCAUCCCUGCCCCCGUCCUUGAACCCAUCCUCGUUUAAUAGUUUUUGGGGAAUCCCUGUACCCGUCCCUGUCGGGGACUAUCCCCCAUACCGGCCUUGAAUACCCGAUUCUUUUUGCAAAAAAAAUAUUUAUCAUACAUUUUAACAUUAAGUUUCAUAUUAAAUUAUCAUUCAACACAUCCAAAUUAACUAUAAAGUUCAACCCAACUAUUCAAAAUCACAUCAAUUCAAUUUGACAAAACAUAUAUAUAUAUAUAUAUAUUCCACCUAUGGAAUUCAAUUUGCUACAAGUUGCGUAUUUCCACGCUUAAGUUGCUAAACAAUGGAAUUGUCAAUUUCUCUUCUUAAAUUCCCAACUUUUAGCUAAAUUUCAAGUUAUUUUCUUUCAUCCAAACGAAUGGUUAAUGUAAUUGCCAAGAUUUAAAAGUCAUUAGAUAGCCGAGCGACUUUAUUGGGAUCUCUCUCUUAUAUAUAUAUAUAUAUACAUAUAUAUAUAUACUAGGAUCCUUUUUUUCCCCCCGAUUUUUGUUUAUCGAUAAGAGUAGUUUAGAGCAUUAUCUGUUACUAUUAGGCCAUUAACCAAGUCUCUAUCGUCCCCAGUAUUUUUUACUUUUUCAAAGUUAUUACCGUAUAAAGAAUUUAGCAUUUUAACCUUUAAUACUAGUGUUAUACACAUACGUACGUCUUUUUCAAUACACGUCUUAAAGACUCAAUUAAAUACACAUUUUUUUAAAAACAAAUGUACAAUACUCUUAUUUUACACAUACGUAAAUAUUUUUCAUGUUUAAUACAUUUUUUUUAUACAAAAUUUUCAAUAAUACACAAAAAAUUCACUUAUUACACAUAAUUUUCACAUAUUGUUGAAUAAGUAUAAUAUAUAUUAAAAUAUUAUAUAGUGGGUGAACUUUUCAGUUGUAAUUUGCCAAAAUUUUGAAGAAUAAAACACGUAUGUAUUUAAUUUGUAUUUUUCCCGUUCCGUAUUUUACUAACUAUGAAAAAAUUUAGUAGCACUAGAGAGAACGAGGUAGAUCAAAGACAAACAUUCCCACAAAAAAACAAAAAGAAAAAAUUGAACUGUAAGAUUCAUUUACUGUGAAAUUUCUAUAUCUUCAAAAUAUGCUUUAGAUAUGUUGAAACUAGCAAAUGAAUAUCUACAAACUAAUGCAUUUUUUUUAUAAAAAAAAUUUCUUUUAAUAAAAAGUAUCGUUGCGCUGCUAUACCUUUUAAAUGUAAUGUAUUUAAUGCGUAUUGCCGUAAGGCUAUACUAUGGCAUUUUUUAUAAAAACAAAAUAGUAUUGACGUGCGGCUAUGCUAAGGUUUUUAUUUAUUUAUAAAAUAGUAUAGUCGCGCUGCUAUACGUUUUUUUGGACACGUGGUGUCCAAAUCGAUAGGCGCUUGGCGGGUGCUCUUUUUUUAAAUUUUAUAUAUAACUUUUUUUUCUUUUUAAAAAAUAGUAUAGCCGCUAGGCUAUACUUGGGUUUUUAUAUUUUAUAUUUUUUAAAAUAGUAUAGACGGUCGGCUAUACCAGUCUUUUUUCAUUUAUUCAGUUUUUAAAAUAGUAUAGCCGCACGGCUAGACCCUGCUUUUUAUUUAUUUAUGUUAGACCUUUUUUUUAACACGUUGUGUCCAAAUCGCUAGGCACUAGGCAGGUCCUCUUUUCGUAUUAUAUAUAUAAUGUAGCAGCGCGACUAUACGUUCUUUUUUAGUUUUUAAGGCUAUACCCUUCUUUUAUUUAUUUAUUUAGUUUUACAAUAGUAUAGCCACACGGCUAUACGCGGCUUUUUAUUUAUUUAUUUAGUUUUAAAAAUAGUAUAGCCUCAUGCCUAUACAAUUUAUAUAUAUACUAGGAUCCCUUUUUUUUAAAAAAAAAAAAAAUUUCCCUGAUUUUUGUUGUCCAAUAAUAGUAGUUUAGAGCAUUAUCCAUUACUAUUAGGGCAUUACUUGAGUCUCUAUUGUCCCCUUUUGAUUUUUAACUUUUCCAGAGUUAUUACUCAUAUAAAGAAUUUAGCAUUUUCACCUUUAAUAAGCGUAUAAUACAUAUAGUAAGUAUUUUUCAAUAAUACAUCCGUUUUAUGUACAUAUCUUAAACACUCGGUAAAAUAACAUUUUUUAAAAAGAGAACAUACAAUACAAAUAUUGUACACAUGUAUGUAUUUUUCAUGUUUAAUACACGUGUUUAGAGCAUUAUCAAUUACUAUUAGGCCUAAUCGCUCGGCAGGCACCUUGACGCUAGGUGGGUCCUCUUUUUUCUUUUUUCUUUUUCAUAAUGAAUUUUAGAAAAUCCAUCGAAUCAUUUUGGUCACAUUGAAUUAGAUCUUCAAACAUCUAUAAUUUUGAAGAUAAUAAUUUUUAUUUAGAAACCUAAAACAUUUUCAUUUUAGUUUUCAUUUUCUGGGUAUGACAUCUUUUUAUUUGAAGGGCUAAAAUAAGAUAAUGGACGCCAUAUAUCUUUAUAUUACAAUUUGAUUUCUCAACUGAUAACCAAAAGUAUCUUAUUUUAUGUUACACAAAGAAAAAGAAAAAGAAAGAUCAACCGUUCCAUGUCCAAAAAUACAGCAUUGUGUGUGCCCACAGUGGCGGGGGCUUCCCCUUUCCUCCCCUAGCACUCCAAAAAAUUAAAUAAGGACACUUACGUUGAACUAUACAAGUGCCCAAAAAAAAAAACAAAAAAAUUAAAGACAUUUCACAAAAGAACUUCACAUUAGGUAGAAGAAAUCACUGACAAGAGGAAACAAUCAAAAUGCCCCUAACAGCACAACCUUAUCUUUUCAUACAUAGUAUACAGAAGAAGCUUGACCUUUGCCAUCCAUGAAAGCAGCUGUAGAACCUCUGAAAAUUGAUCAGCAUUUUAGUCAUUUCGAAUUUUUUUUUACUAGAUUGUUAGAUAGAUGAAAAUCAAAUGCAUUCUUACCAAUAAUAAGCCUUAACCUAUAGUAACUUGCAUUUGCCUUCAAUCGGGAGAACACAACUUUCAGAGCAAAAUCUGAAAGCAUAAUCAGAAUUAAGGAAAUAAAUUAUAGUUACAAUGUAACAGAAGAUGACAUGGUUGAAAACUAACUCUAGAAUUGUGGUCUAAAAUUGUGGAGUAAGGAUAACUUAUUCGGUUUUCAUUAAGUCCUAAAUGUUCAGAACAAAUAAUUAGCAUGAUGCACGUGUGUUUUAGAUUCCCAAGUUGGAGUUCAGUAUUUGUACUUGAACAUUUGUUUUUCUUUGAAAAGGUUUGUCUUCUCCAACUUACUAGAAAGUUGUUCCCGAGUCAGCAAAUGAGUUUCCAGCUUAAACUUAAAAAGUGCCGUUCCAUAAAGUAAAAAAGAAAUGCAAUUGGACAAAAGUAAAUGGAAUUAUACGUCAAAAUUUACCAGAUUCAGGAUUCAACUUUGGAGAAAGACCAUAUAAUGCAUAUUUGCCAUAGGCUAGUAACCUGACUCUUUGUGGAGCCCCCAACUUGCUAACAAUAGACCUCAGCAGCCCACUGGAUACGGAGAUAAAAAUACAGCAAUUAGAGAUUUGAACAAUCUCAACUUGCUAACGAUAGAACCCAGUAGCCCACUGGAUAUGGAGAUAAAGUUACAGGAAUAAAGAAUGUUAAGAAUAUCAAGAGGCAUCAUACGUAGAGAGAUUUCAUUCUUUUACUUACUCAGUACGCAAUAUUGUGAGAAAAUCUGAUGGUAAGGAUUCCAUAAAUGAAGAUAUGUCUUCCAUCUUCAGGGACUUCAGCUCCUGCUUUAGAUUACGUCUUUCUUCAACUGACAUUGCCUUCCCAAGAGCCGAUUUACUGCAACACAUGGUAAAAGUGCAAUUAACUCACCAUUGUACUUUGUUAACAUGAUCACAAAUGCUUUAUUGCAGGAUAUAUUAAUUAUAUAAAAAGGAAAAGAAGAUAUAGAUUCAGUAUCAAGUGGAAAUCCUUCUUGGGAUAGAUCCUUAGUACUAAAACUAGCCUCACAUCAAAGUGAAUAUCAUCUAUGAGGAUUAACACACGAAAGAGGUGCAUCUAGUAUCUCUUUGAGCCACUAUCUUUGUCACUUCUAAAACAUACUCACAUGCAACAGACACAAUCAUACAUACAAAUGCAUGCACCAGUGAAUGAGAGAGGGAUAUGUAUACAUAGAGAGUUUUUCUCUUAAACGAAAGUUCAUUAAGGAACAGACACAGGCACUGUGUGGCCGCCAGUCGCCCAGCCGGUGCAAUUUUUUUUUUCUGCCAGUUCCAUGGCAACAUUAAUUGGUUAUAUUUUAGGUUUAACUCUUGAGUUUUGGGUGGUACCCUAACUAUGUAACCCUGUCACCAAAACGGGUGACACAAUUUUUUACCCACAUUUUGACACAUAUUCUAAGAAAUUAGAUUGAGGCACUUUGAAUGGCUGAGAUUAAUGAUAAAUUGGGUUUUUAUUUCUUUAAUUAAUGUGCACUGGGAAUACCAAUAGUUAAUAACUUUUCAAAUGUAUUCUUCUCUCUCCUCUCUCCCGUGUUUCCUCUUUCUUUAAUAUCCUUCUUCUCUUUUUUAUUUUCCUGUGAAAAUCCUUCGUGUGGCCUUCUGCAAACGAUGACGAUGAUGCUCUCACACCCACACCCAAAUACACAAUGUACUUCCAAUAAUUUUCUUUUAUAUAUAUGGACAUAUUAAUCAUUUAAGCUCAAGGUCCCUACAUGCAAGGAUGAAUAGGUGGAAAGGGCACGUAUCAAGGUAAACCUAAAACAGUGAGGGCAAUUUAUAUUUCUAGGGAGCAGAACUGGCUAGUCACUGACAAAAAGUAGAAAAUUUAAAAGCAAUCAAUCACCUGUCAAUAGUUCUUCCCGUAAAAAUGACAGGAAAGUAUCUAGAAUACUUUGCAACACCAAACCGUUCACCCAAACGCUGCAAGUUUUUUGAGUCCAGAAGAAUUAAUGCCUUCCAGAGCUGACAGUAAUCCAACCUAAAUCCUUCAUCCAAUUUUUUGUAUAUUCCAUGGUCUAGAAUAACUGCAUGGCCAAAUUGUGGACAGUAAAUCACAUCACAAGCCCAACAAUACAAGCAAUUUCAACUGAGACAAUUACCUACAGGGGUUAUUUUCAGCACAUACCCAAAGAAAAGCCAUUCUGACCUUCAGGAGAAACUAAUAUGUUACCAGGGUGUGGAUCUCCAUGCAGGAAACCAUGGAUGAAAAUCAUUUCGGCAAACACUUCCAACAACACUUCUGCCACCUAUAAUACAAACUAAUCAGAAUUAAAAAUCAUUAUCCUAACUGCAAUUGGCUUUACCAAUUAAGGCAUUUCAGAUCAUUCAGAAAAAAAUAAAAAAAUAAAAAAUAAUAAUAAUAAUAAUAAAAAUAAGAGUGGCCUGACACUUACACCCAGCAGACACAAAAUAAAGAGAAGCAAUUAAAAAAACAUUUUCUCAACUGCACAAGGAUUUAUCAAUGUGCAUGCAUGGAGAUGUAUGACCUGAAGUAAAGAUGCACGCACACGCAUAGACACAUACUUCAAAUAAGAUAUUUAUGCUAAAACCUAGUUUGAAUAAGACAUAGGGGCUGAAAUGAGCUGAAAUGCACAUUGGUAUCUUGGUUUGGUUCUACCCAAUGCUCCAAUACUGGCCUAACUAGAUUUUCUCAAGCCCAAUUGGAUUACAAAGAAACGACUCUAGCCUGCCCAACCAUAUUUUGACUAGGCUCAAGGCUCAUAAUCCUCAUUCGCUAUUUCUGUUUAAUCUUGUCUAUCUGAUUUAGUUCAUACGCGUGCAUAAAAGCUUAGAAGACUGCUGCCUCAAGCCCCUAAAAAGUCAGCCACCAAACCAAGCUCCAGCUCAGAUUAUUUAAGCACCCUAAUAUCAAAUUGGCUGAGAUCAAAUUCAACCCCAAAACAUAUAAUGGCAUUCACAUAGUUUCGUUUGUCCUGGACUUACAAUAUAAAAAUAAAAUCUGUAGCUAUCACUGAAAACCAACCUUCAUUGGGUGUAUUCUCCUUUCCUUCAGAUAUUCUACAUCAUCAACCUGAGUUCUAAAGAAAUUAUUGUUAGUGGCAUUAGUAGCACAGAACAGUGGGAAAAUAUUAUAUGACAAAAAUAACAUCAGUAACAUGAUAGUGAUACAGACAAGAAGCUCGUUGAAAGAUAAUGAAAGGCAGAUUUACAGAAGAAAAAAAACGAAUAAUAAAACCAUUCAAAAAGUUAUUUAAAUUCAAUGGCGGACUGCUUGUUAUCCUUCUUAGGAAAUUUUAGGCUACAGUAAUUUAUUAAGUAAGUCACUGGUUUACUUUGGGUUUUCUAAAGGUUUAGUUGUUUCGGAAUGUAAAACACAUCUGCUUGAAGGAUUUCAUGGUAUUUUAUGGGUUGCUAAUUUCAUUUUACAAUUUCUUAUCUUAGAGUCUUAGUCUUGUUAGGAUUAAGAAGGCCAGUAGCCUGUAAGUAUUGACACAAUGAAUUCAAAGGAGAAGUGUUGGAGACCAUGUAUAUGUAUAUUCUUCUAGUCCAUUAUUUGAUUUUCUGCAGUGCUACAAUCACUACCAUUUCAGCAACAUAACAGCCAUCGGAAUUGAAUCUUUAUUAGACCUAUUCAAAUCCUAACCCCAUAACACUCUUCCACUAAUUAACCUCCAAUACCACUCUACUUGAUUUAGCGACAACAUAACAAAUCAUAGAACACAAGUUCUAAGCUUAAUACAGCUGCACUAUGUCCAUUUGAUACUUGCGUACUGAUUUAGUCAAUGGGAAUAACAAGUAUAUGCAUGCAAGACAGUAUAUACAAUAGGCCCACUUCAACCAAUAUCCAGAAACUAAUAACCAUCAAACUUACGAAUUCUUCAUGGAAAAUUUAUGGUAGAUUGGCAUAUUUACACCCUAAUAUACACUCAUUUACACUUGUAGCCAAGUCUAACAUUAUCGUGUUAUAAGCUUACAGGUCAGCAUACACAGGUUGCCCUAGACCUACAUGGCAUAUUUCUAGGGCACCAUGGCCCAGGUCCUAACAUCCACCAUCCCUGGGCUGCCAUUGGUGAUUACCCAAAAAAGAGAAAUUUUCAACAUUUUUCCGCAAUAUACUCUAGCCAGCCAUUUCCUUUUAGAAAAAUUUAUGGGACUAGAUGGUAGUACUAGUUGUGGUCAACAAAAUUUGAUAAAUCUUUGAACUCUAACAAAUUCAUACACAGAUGCAUACUACACAAGCAAGUUCAAAAGGCUAUACCUUCUGUCCUGUACAGAAUUCCAUCGUCAGAACUUGAUGAGUCGUUAAGUCCUGGACACAUUUAUGGUGGUCAGCUUCUUGUAUUGCCAAAUUAAAGAUAUUCCACAGAUGGCUAAAUAAAAAAUGAAGAGGAGCAUGCCAGCUAUAAUACCCAAAAUACACGAGGAACCUUGACCCAUUUGUUGUUGGCAAAGUUAUUGGCAGUUGUCUCAGAAUUCCUAGCCUCCUGAAUAAAGUCUGUGGAACAGUUAAAGAGACGAAAACCAUUAUUGUCUUCACUAUCUUCAAUAAUGAUUUCAAGACUAAAAUUCAGAUCAUGCUUGAUGCAGCAAAAUCAUCAUAUGAUGGCAAUUGUCUGUCCAAGCUUACCGUACCACUGCUUUUAAAUUGAUUUCUUUUUUGGGUGCUAUCUUGUCCAUUUAUUCUGAAUAGUGAAAUAAUCAUAUUUUUUAAGUGUUAGGAAGUAGGGAUAAUUGGAAGCUUAUUGAAAAUAAAUGUCUAAAAUGGCUGUGCUGCUUCUCCUUUGAGCAAGACUGAUAAUGGUGUUCAAACAUUAGAACCAUGAACCGAGUCUAAUCCAAUGGGUGAGAUUCUCAAUUUGUAGAGAGAAGUUCCCUUAGGAGUCCUUUGAAAUACACAUCUUGGGGAUUAUUGUUAAUGGGGCUAAAAGUCAAUUUUGGGAAGAUAUUUGGCAUGAUGAAUUAUUCUUUCAAUAUUUGUUUCCUCAUUUUUAUCCAUCAACUCUAAACUAUCACGAUACAAUCCUUUCUUACAUAACUUCCUUUUCCACUUCUCUAGAGCAUUCCAUGGAAUUUAACUUUUGAAGGAACUUGAACGAUAGAAAAUUCUCAAAAUUUGUCUCAGGCAAUAAUCUCCCUGAACCCAGGUUAAUCUGACAGAGAAAUUGAUAUGCAUUUGAACUUCAGGUAGUCCUUUUGUUCAUUCUCUCAUAUAAAAUCCUAUUGAUCAAGUUUUCAGACAUUUAAGAUUAUUUGGUUGGUGUACCCAUUAAAGAACAGAUUUUUGCAUGGUUGAUGGCUCACAAGAAAUUACAUGCUAAAAUGCCUAAAGAGUAGAAUCUAUGUUUGUUAUCACCAAUAUGGCGUAUUUUAUACAGGGUUCAGGUUUAGGGCACAGGUUAUGGUGUUCCAAGUCCAGGAUUCUGGUUCCAGGUCCAACCUGUAGUCGUGAGGUUCAGGUUCGAGGUCCCAUGUCCCAAGUCCACAGUCUGGAUUUGGGGUCCAUGUCUCGAGUCUGGGUUUAGUUUCUCUCUCUAGCUUGUCUGGACUGAAAGGAGCUAUUUUUGGUGUAUUCAAAUAAUAAACACAAAAAGAGGUCAUAAAAUAUUAUUUAUAAAUUUCAUACCCCUUAAUUCCUCUAGAAUGUCCUGAUACGAGAAAAGCUAACUGAAGAGUACUACAGGUAGGGCAAAAAAAUUGUUUCUUAAACAAAAGUACCAUAGGUAAGGCAAAAAUAAGAACUUUCUAAAAGGAAAUUAUAUGUUUCUAAUUACCAAUGUCAUCCAACAACUCACCAAGUUCGAGAGAAAUAGACUCUACGAAUUCUGAUACCAGCCACUCAAAUCUGUAUUCUGGGAAAAACUGCAGGAUGGGAAAAGAAAUAGGUCUUUAAGUAAUUGAAAAGCAUCCAGCAAACUAUGGAGUAAAGAAGAAAAAACAUUGCCAAGUGACAGAAAGCCAGUAAGGGAAAAACAAAAGAAAAUAAGCUACCUGAUGUCAAACAUUUAGACCUUGAACCAUAUAUAUUUUCAAUCUUUUCAGAAAAAUUAUUUUAUAUGGAGACAAGAAACUUAUUGUUUCAAUUCUACAAUCGAAAAAAAAAACAUUUUAGGAACACUUCAUAAUACAACAUAAAAGGGCUGAAAAUUGUUUGAAAAUGUAUUGCUUGGAUGCUAAAGCCAGUUAUUAGUAAACAUAACAUAUGAUACAGAGCAAUAACAUCUUGGCACUGCUGGGUUUUCCAGCCCAUGAUGAGUUUCCUAAUCGUCUUGGAGAAUAAGAAUCAUAUUCCCAGUUGGACUUGUUUUCCCAAUUGAAGAGGGUUCAAAAUGCUUGGUAAUCAGAUUCCUAUUAGGAUUAGAUUACCUAAUUGAUGAAGGCCUUGCUAUAUAAGGAGAUCCAAUGUGCUAGUUUACAAGCAUCAACAUCAGCAAGCAAGACAGAACAAUAUUCAGAAUUCCACUCCAAAGAGAGAGUGAGCGGGAAUACCAUUCCAGAGAGAGAGAGAGUGUGUGACCGGAGAGCAAAACAAUUGAUUACCAAAAGGAGUUAGAUUAAGAGAAUAUUGAAGGGCAAAGUGUGUGAGAGAGAAGAAAGAGAUAAUAGUGUUUCCUUGUUUUCUUGUUCUUUCUAGUUGUUCAUCAAGUCUUGAAUCUAGAGGCUUGAUAGGAUAAUUUGUUUUUUAACCAUUAUCGAUAUGGUGGAGAUUUGUUGUUUCUGCCCCGUGGACGUAGGCCAUAUAGCUGAACCACAUUAAUCUUGGUGUUCUUUAUCUUCUAGGUUAUUUUCUUGGGUUUCCUGAGUUCGUUUGUUUCUCCCAUUCUUAAAUGAUUUCACAACAGGCAGUUACUUGUGUUCAAAGAAACCAGGUAUACAACAGUACAACCACAGAAAAAUGACAUAAAUCGCAACAAAGGUUUGUUGUGCUUGUCAAAAAUAGAUGAGCAGAAAUAAAUUAGUGUAACCUGUUAUGUAGGAUGCAGUAAAUGGGGGAGUAGGAUGACCAAUUUGGUGUGAUAAUUGCUGGUGGGGGAAAUGACUUCCCUUAAGUAUUUGUGCAGGACAACUAAUUUUUAUCUGAGAAUUUCACUUUUCCUGAUAGUCUACUUAUUUCCUCUAGUAAAUUACAAUCAUUCAAAACACAUUAGAGUAAAUAAUGUAUGUCCAAGUUACACCAAAACAAAGAAUUAGGAGAACAAAGGGCCUAAGAUUUUCUUUACUUUCUAAAGAAAAUCAUAGGACUACAAAUUCUAAAUGUAAUGUUGAAAAGUAGAAAGGCCUAAGUUUUCUUUACAUAUUAUACAUGUUGUACACAGAUGAAACUCAAGAAUUGUAAACGAGCACAUUUUGGAACAUACAUUGAUAGCAUAACAUAGCACUUAACAUAGUAUCAUAAAACCUAGGGCUGCAAAUAAGCCUACCCACUCAAGGGCUCAAAGCUAUGAUAUUAGUUAGGCUUGGCCUGGAAACUGGUUUGUUUAAAAAUUGCCAAGCACCAACUCCAAAAUUGAAGGUCAAUGAAUAACAAGCCAUUAACAAGCAUAAGGUGCUUGAUUGGCUAGGGUUGCUGAUGUAGCACAGCCCGUAGGUAUUAGAUUAAGCACUCAAACAAUAGAACAGAGAAGAAUAUAAGCGACCGGGGAGAAGAAAUAGAGAUCGAAAAGACGAGAUAAGGACAGAAACAGUAGAAUAAAGAAGAAUAUUGGAGAUCGAGGAGAAGAAAUAUAGAUCGAAGGGACGAAAUCAGAGAGUUCUAGGAAAAGGUUUACUCAACAUUCAAAUCUGAAUUUUAAAGAACUACACCUAGACAUAACAGGAUAAAAAUCCCUUGCUUAAACAGAAAUCCUAACCCAAAUAAAAUAGGAAACUUAAAACUAGAAAAUCUGGAAAUCUGGAAAAGUAGAAAUCCCACUAGAAUUGGGAAAACUAGAGAAUCUAGGAAACUAACAAAUACAUUAGGAAACUAAUAAAUUUAGGUCAUAUGCGUCCUGCAUCAGUUGCACAGCAACUCCACAAAUCAGAUCUCUGUGGGAGUAAUACUAUUUAGAAACUUCAAUGACCAUUUAGGAGAGACAAAACCUAUUCACUGCAACUACAAUAUAUCACAAAAGUGUCCCGAGAUUGAGUGCAUACCCAAGCAAGGGAUUUUGAAAGAAAAUACAUGGUUGUUGUAUCUAUUUUCAUUUGCUGCUCCAGGUCCGGGUACUGCACCUAUUAUCCACAUGACAAAACUAAUUAAUAACCAUUGCAGUCAUAAAUCCGUGUUUAUUGAGAAGCAAAAAAACAUUAUAUGCAAAAGUAUUAAGGAACACAGAAAAGAAAAGCAAACACGUUUCUUUUGUUUUAAUGUAUAAGAAAAAGUUAAGGAAUGGAUAAUUUUAUCAGACAUCCUGAAUUCAGGUAACUAUUCUUUUUGUGAAACGAUUUUGAACUAUUGUUCCACUCUUUUAUCCACCUCAUCUUUGUUUUGCCACCAAGAAAUUUCCUGUUUAACAAUCAAUUUUGAACUACAGUUGCACUGUUUUAUCCAUCUCAUCUUUGUUUUGGCUUGUUCAGGGUGACGGUAUGUUGUUAUGGGAAUAUAUAUUUCUUGCUGAUGGAUAUGUUUUACUCCUUCACAUAUCUGGUGUUUCAUCCAAUUUAGGGUGUAGACUAGAAAUUUCUAAAUCAACCUCCCCUAGAAUGGCUAGUGAGCGACAAAGGAAACUUCGAGCUCAUAUUGGUCAUGGCUUGAGAGAGGGAAUUGAAAUGUGUGUGUUCCUUCAUGUUGUGCUUCUCAAGAUUACGAUAUUCAACACAGCAUUUCAAGAUAGAAAGAGUUUGGUGUCCUUGUUAUUGUUAUUUGGUGUUUUGGUGUGUCUUUAUAAGCUUGUUUAGUUUGUAACUUGAGUAGAUAGUUUGUAUCUCAACUUGGGUGGUUGCAGCAAUGUUUUGUCUAGGAAAUGCGAAAAAGGGAAGAUCAUAAAGUCCCUGUUCUUAUAUUGGUAAAAUAAAUUCAUUUUGGAUUCUAUAUUUCUAAAUUGAAUAAAUGACAUUAAACAUUUCCUAUGUUGAAAAGAUGGGAAUUUGAUUUCCUUGUUCUAAGGAGGAAUGUCCACAGGAACUAAAAGUUUAGGAAUUUGGUCAAACCACUUACCAAGCUUUUAUCACUUCUUGAAAAUUGAAAAGUUUCACCUAGAAAUCUCGUGAGACUGUAGCACACUUUUUUCAUAUUCUCCCCAUGAACUCAAAUUUAAAUGAAGAGUUUCGAAGAAGAGUUACUGGUUUAUUCACCAAUUACAGUUGUCUUAAAAUUAAUGAAAUUUACUAAAACAGAGGUUUAGUCUGCUCACCAACCUUAAUUGCUACUUCUUGAUGACCCUUAAGAACUCCCCGGUGUACUUGAGCAAUAGAUGCCGCAGCUAUCGGAUGUUCAUCGAGUGACAAAAACCUGAGGUAAAUGCCAAAGUCAGAAAAAUAACAGCCCUUUCAACUUUGAAGUACAGAGUUCCAUUGGAGAAACACAUUAAGAAGAAGGAGAAGUUUUUAAGGCACAUGCUACCAACCAUUUUUUUUUUUUUGACAAGGACAAAACUUCAUACAGCAAUUGAGAGGAAAAAAAGAAGUAGCAACAAGACAAAUGUGGAAGUUCAUCGAGUUAGAAAAAGAUCCCAAAGUCAUAAAACUUUCAAGUAUAGAGUUCCACUGAUGAAACACAAUGAGAAGAUGCAAUAACUUUUAAAAUCACCUGAUACAAACUUGUAAAUGGCAAGAAACAUACAUGCGGAACAGUUACGGAAAAAAAAGAAUAAGGAAAACAAAAAAAGGAAGAAGGCAUACAUCAUUUUCAUGUCUUCCACCAUUUUAUACAAACUAAGGAACCCCAAUAUAUUACCAAAGUUUAUGAUCCUUCAUAAUCCCUUCCAACACAAAACACUCCAUAAUUAAUAGCAUGUCUUAAGAGUCUGCAAGUUUUUUUUUCCCUUCUAUUUAAAAUUUUUAUCUGGGUUCCCACAAGUUGGUGUAUACACUGCAAUGUGACAAAAUACUUACAUAUCUGACAGCUCGGGUCCCAGAUUGCGGAUUAGUACCUCUUUAAUAGCCUUGAAAUGAUAUGGAACUGCCUAAGACAAUAGUUACGAGAUAGUCACCAUAUCAUAUAGUUAAAUUAAUUUCCACCUACAUGAAUAUAUACCAUAUCUAGAAAACAAAACGGAAUAUAAAGAAACAGAUAUAAACACAUAGUUCAUUCAUACCUGAUCCUGCAAUGAGGAAAGAGUCAAUGAGUAUUCUUUGGGAACCUGUCGCAGAGCUGCAACAAAUUGGCCAGCUUUCACAUAGAACCCUCUAUUGACCUCACACAAUUUCCGAAUUCUUGAGGCGGACCUUCUAUGAACCUAAAUUCCAUCAUCAAAUUCAUAAGAUAUACAACUGAAGCUCCUUCAUAAUGGUUCUCAGACUAGAAGCAAACAAUUACAAAAUCUAUCUAAUUUCUUCUGAAAGAAACUUACGUUCCUGAGGAAAUUCAAUGAUUCAUACUUCAUAGUAAGAAAGAAAAGAAAAGCAACCAAGCAACCAACCUCAGAUAGCUUCUGACGAUACUCAUCAGAGUCAACCGAGAGUCCAUGUAAAGUGAACUUGUAGUCAACAGCAGUGAAAGCAAUCUGCAACUUUCAGGAACAUAUUAUUAACAGUGAAAGAGAUAGAUGGAAAGGGAAGAUUUUUUUAUUAAAAAAAAUGACAAAAAUGGAGAAUGAAAGGGGAGGAAACGGACGGUGGCGAUUGCGCGAGAAGAUCGAUUGACGCCAUGGAUUGGUGCGCGUAAUUUCUCAGGAAAGUUGGGGAAGGAAUCGGAGGAAGAUGAUAGAAAAUUGGGGUUGAAGGCAUGGAAGGUGAGGCCAGUGGCUGUGAUUAAGCAGAGUGCGGUUUUGGCCUUCCGCAUUGCCCGAGUCUAAUGUGUUUCUCUGUCUAGACUCGCCAGACCAAUUCAACUAUCCCGUCAAAUAAUACAAAGAAAAUUAAGGGUAUGUUUGGUAUUUUAUUUGAAUAUAAAUUUUUUAAAUUUUAAAACAGAAUUUCAGUCUAAAAUUCAAAAAAUCUGUUUGCAGGGCCGAGUUUUAAAAACUCAAACUCAAAAAUUCCCAAAUAUUUGAAAACAGAAAACAUUUGUUUGUUUAGAAUUUUUUCAUCAUUCUUGCUUGCCACUUCAACCAAAUAAGUAAUUUAUUGGGAUCCUCUUUUUUUUUUUCAAUAAAUAUUUUUCCCCGAUUUUAGUUUAUCGAUAAGAGUAGUUUAGACACCCAAAGUAAUUAUCCAUACAAAGAAUUUAGCACUUUCACAUUUAAUAGCGUACAUGUACAUACGUAUUUUUCAUAUUUGAUACACAUAUUUAUAACAAAAGUUUCAAUAACACACAAAAUUAACGUAUUAUACAAAUAAUUCUCACAUAUUAUUGAAUAAAAAUAAUAUAUAUUAAAAUAUUAUAUAGUGACCUAACUUUUAAGUUGUAGAUCCUCUUUUUUUUCUUUUUAAAAUAGUAUAGCCGUGCGGCUGUACUCGCCUUUUUAUAAUUUUAAAAAAAUAGUAUAGCCGGUCAGCUAUACAUAUUUUGACACGUAGGAGCCUAAUCGCAAGUGGGGCCCUCUUUUUAAACCUGCAUAAAUAGUAUAGCCGCUCGGCUAUACUCCGGUUUUUAUUUUUUUUUGUUAAAAUAGUAUAGCCGGUCGGCUAUACUUAUUUUGACACGUGGGAGCCCAUCGCAAGUGUAUAAAUAAUAUGGCCGCACGGCUAUACUUCUGUUUUUAAUUUUUUGUUAAAAUAGUAUAGCCGGCCGGCUGUACUCGCCUUUUAAUAAUUUUAAAAAUAGUAUAGCCGGUCGGCUAUACUUAUUCUGACACGUGGGAGCCUGCCGCAGUGGGGCCCUCUUUUUUUACGUGUAUAAACACAUAGUUCAUUCAUACCUGAUCCUGUACUGAUUUCUUAAAAUAGUAUAGCCGGGCGGCCAUACUCGCUGUCAUAAACACUCGGUUAAGUUUUUCUUUUUUUUAUUUUCUAAUGAUUUUUCAGUUUAGUAAUUUUUAAUUUAUAAAACAUUGUUUCACCCACGUCACAUGCCACUUCAGCAAUUUAACAGAAAUAAACCCUUAUAUUUAUUAAAAAAACACAUUCUAGCCGAAAACAGCAAAAUCGAAAGGGGAAAAAAACGAAAAAUGAUGAAACUUCCGAGUACUUGAAGAAUAAACCUUUCAAUUCUGCUUCCUAAGGACAGAAUUAAGAAAGUUUUAUCAUCAAAAGCCAACUAUUAAAAUAAAACUUUUGGAUGCCAAUUAUCAAAGCACUUAACCAAUGUCGCUUUCAAUCCCACAACCAAUGCUCCCUCGUAAUCUCAUCAUUUACAAAAACUUUGACUUCUACAGAAAAUGUUGUUCUCGGUGCUUCUUCGCAAGCAGAAAUAUAUGAGCAUUCUUUGAAUCUGAAAGAUAGAUAUCAUUUAUAUGAACACCAAAAUUCAAAAUUCAAACUUCAAAAGCAAGUUACAGAGAUCUGAUAUAAAGAAUGAAGAUGGAUCAGAAACACCUGGCUUGGUGUCUCUGUGUAAUACAGAGAUAUAAGUCGCUCAGUUUGUUCAGUUUCGAUCAUUUGGGGAAAUAAUCAUCACUUCCAUCUUCUCUUUCUAUGGUUUUUUCCAAUUUCAAAAAUAAAAAUCAUUCAAAACACAAAAACAAUUUCAAAACCCAAACUGAAGAAAGAUUUGAAAAUUCAAAAGACGAAGAAACAAAAAGAAGAAUAGAUGACAAUGAGUUGUUGGGAUUUGGGAAAGAUCAGAGUUCUGGCUUGGAAAUUAAAAAUAGCGCAAGUUUGAAUCUGCUUCGAUCAUAUGGGGAAAGUAGCAUCACUUCAAUCCCAAAUCCCUAACAUCCAAUAUGAAUCACAACAAAAGUAAAGCGGAAAAACCUAAAAACAAAAAAAUCAAACACAAAACUGUGGCGCCGGCUCAUACGAAGAGCCCAUUCUUACUCAGAGGAAGCUUGAUAUCAGUUUCUUCGACGCCGAAACUUAAAACCUAAAUGCUAAUACUAUGUAUGCAAACGCAAAAGAAACAACAUCAAAAAAGUUACCAUGAAGGUGAACCGAGAAUGCAGAGGCAGAGAGGGUGCGUGAGACGGUGAGAGGGUUGAAGGAUGCGAUUCAAUUUAUAGGGUAUCGACGUGCGCUCGGAAACCCUAAUUUCAUUAGGCUGAGUUAUGUCGGUCCUAGUAUGGCAAAACGACAGCGUUGCUAGGCAAUAACCCUCGGCCCUUUUACGGCCCUAAGACCCAAGUAGGGGUAAGCCCAUAAAUUUGGAAGAAGCCCAUGGGGUGGCUGCUUCCAUUCGCAGCUCCACUUUUGGUUUAGUUUUCUAAUUUUUUGAAGUCAGAUAUUAUUUUCUAAUUUUUCUUUCUUCUUUGUCUUUGUUCGCUUAGACUUAUUAAUUUGGUAAACAAUUUGCCUAGUCCAAUUUAAAUAUUAACCUUAUUCAAGGCAUUAUAAGUAUUCUUAUUCGAGUUUUUGUGGUACAUCCAAUGGUGCAUUGUCAAGUUUUUAAUCAUUAAAUCAAAAGUCUAAAAGACUAAAAUUUGAUGGUCGAUAAAACAAUACAUUUUACGUUAUGUUAGAUGUACCACAAAGAGGCAGAGCGGCUUCGAGCAGGUGGUGCAGCUGGUGUGCAACACGGAUGGCUGACGCCCUACAUGACUCAAAAAUCCUGAUCGAUGCCCUUCGCGAAGGAAGUUGCCCUGACGCCAACGUAGAAUAGAUCCUCCAUGAUAUUCGUAUACUUAGUCAACAGUUCACAUCUAUUUGUUUCUCUUUUGGUCCUCGCACACGCAACUUUGCUGCUCACACAAUGGCGAGUCAUGUAUCCAAAUUUUCUGGUGCCUGUAAUUGGGAUUCCUUGACCCCCUUAUGCCUGUUAUCGUCACUUGAGAAGGAAGCGGCCGGCUUGGCAACUUUGAAUAGUUGAACACUUUUCAUUGUUUCUUUUCGUAGAUAAGAAUUUCAUUUUGAAUGCAAGACUGAUCAUCCUCAUUCCUCUAUUUGCCUUCAUGUGUCUAAAUACACCAUGUACUUUCCCUCAAACAUUGCGGUUGAGUCGGAUGUCUCCCUCCCUCCAUUCAAUUCAACGUUUACUUUACCACGCUUCUCUUUCCAUUAAUUGACCCUUCUCUUUCUUGGGAAUAGGCUGAAUACUCAGAGGACGACAUGGCUGCUCCUUCUAGGCCAAUAACAAUUUGACUUAGUCUUGUUUUCUUUGGGUGCACAACCUCUUUGGAUUGUUUAGCCAUCGCAAUCUGUUAUUGUUAAAGGGCUAAAUUGGUGAAAUGCUUCAUGAACUUGGAUCUAACUUUUAAUUUAUCCUAUAAUUUUUUUAAAUUAAGAAUAUGAACUCUUUUUUUGGUCAACAUUCCCUUACCAUCUAAAUCUUAAACAUUUUAUCCAAAUUCCUGCAUGUUGGUUUCAUUAAGUUUAUGGAUCCAAUCCAACCUGUUGCCACUCUUGCAGUAGUGACCAAAAAUUUAAUAUAAUUUCCCCAACUCGUUUUUAGUGCAGCAGUACCUUUUGGACGUUUGAUUUAACUUUGGCUAUUAUAUUUAGAAAAGUGAUUUAGAAAAUCUCUUUUUAUAAUUUUGCCUCAACGGAAUUAUGUCUCCAUUAUAAAUAUUCUUUUUGUAACCACCAUUACAUAGAUAUUUAAAUAUCACACACCAAAAUGUAUUUUGGCCUGGUACUCGACCAUAGCAUAAAAUAUGGGCUUUACCUCAAACGUGCUUGAAUAAAUUUUUUUAAAAAAUUAGAACCUCAAAAAAUAUUGUUUUCUUUUUCUUUUUGCUGAAUACUUUUGUGGUUUGUAAGUUUAACCUUUCCACGGACAACACAUGCAUGGAUAUAAUGAUCACCAAAAAACACAAAGGGUAACUUAUUAUGACAGCCAAGUAGGGAUGGCAAAAAUUCCCUUAGGGAUGGGUCCCUAUCGAGUCUCCGAUUUUAACGGGGGGAGAUUUCGGGGCUAAAUGGGUAUCGGAUAUGGGGAUUUCCGAACUUAAAAAAUUCUUGACAGGUAUGGGGAGAGGAUGGUAUUGGCGUCCCCAUCAUCGAGCCCCGAGCCGAAAAUAUAUAUGUUUAUAUUUAAAUAAAUAAAUAUAUAAUUAUAAUAUUUAUGUUUAACCCUAAGUUAACUUCCCUCUCCUAAUUCUUCCUCAUUUUCUAUGGAAUUUCAUAUUUAUGUGAUUUUGAAUAGUUGAGUUGAACUUUAUAGUUAAUUUGGAUGUGUUGAAUGAUAAUUUAAUAUGAAACUUAAUGUUAAAAUGUAUGAUAAAUAUUUUUUAAUGCAAAAAAAUCAGGGAUUCGGGGCGGGUAUGGGGGAUAGUCCCCCGACUGAGACGGGAAUGGGGAUUCCCCGAAACCUAAUAAACGGGGAUGGGUUUGGGGACGGGGGCGGGGAUGGAGAGCGGGGAUGGGGAUGGUAUUGUCAUGCCCGGCCCCUACCAGACCCGUUGCCAUCCCUACAGCCAAGCCUUUAAUCAAUUUUGCUUAAUAAUGAUGUAUCUGCUAAUUAAAAAUUAUCUAAAAAUAAAAAUAAAAGGUUAGGGGUCUGUCUGUUUUCUGUUUUCAUUCUCAAAAAACACUGAGAUUAAUUAUUUUAACCUUUUAGUUAUAAUUCACUGAAAAUGCAAAAAACAUCAAAAUGUUGUUUUCAUUUUUAGAGAAUAUGGAUUCAUUGAGAAAAAACAGUACAUAAGCCACCAUCAUAACCAUCAUCGUCAAACACCACCCAACAACCACAACAGACCAGAAACCUGCUAAUCGCACCACCACCUAGUCGAACUCAAUCGAUCGUACCAUCAAUACUACUUGUACCAAAUCGAAGUACCACCACCCACUCAACAAACUACUAAGGAACGAGAGAGAGAGAGAGAGAGAGAGAGAGAGAGAGAGAGAGAGAGAGAGAGAGAGAGAGCUAGACGGGCCUUAUACUGUUAACUUUUAGAGAGACGGGCCAACGGCUCACAGUGAGCACCGCUGAUAUUGAGUAAGGGUAAACAUUCAAGCCCAACAUGUGAACAUCACAUGUUGGGUAACAGGUAAAGGUAAAGGCCUAGUAAUUCAAGCCCAAUCAAUCCACCCGCUCUGAUACCAUGUUAAAUUUCAUAGAGACAGGUUAUCGGCCUACUACUAGCAACUCGGUGGGUAAAGGUAAAUGCCUAGUAAUUCAAGCCCAAUCAAUCUACCCGCUCUGAUACCAUGUUAAAUGUUAGAGAGACAGGCCAUCGGCCCACUACUAGCAACUCGGUGGGUAAAGGUAAAUGCCUUGUAAUUCAAGCCCAAUCAAUCCACCUGCUCUAAUACCAUGUUAAAUUUCAGAUAGACAGGCUAGCAACACCGAUAUUGUCCACAACUUAACCACCUACAAAACCCAGUAGGUGUAAGGUUUUAUCACAAAGGCCUUAGUGAUAUUACUAGUAGAACCAUUCAUUAUAUAUUUUAUUUUAUUUAGUCAAGUUUUCGAUGUGGGACUUAUAUCUUUCAACAAAUACCAACAUAACAACUUGUUCUUCUAUUCGGAUACGAUGUUACCAUUUAUUAUUUUACUAUUUUAAAGUCACUUUCAAAGUCUUUUCUUUUAAGAGCUUUCGUUUUAAAACACUAUAUAGUUUACUAAUUUAGAAGAUAGAAAUACAAUUUCACUUGAUUAAAAUAAGGUCAAAGUCUAAAAGUAGUACCUAAUUUUACAAUAAUGUAAUUUGAAAUAUCAAAAUUACACACAAUGCCACAUGUCCACCUCCGGUAAUCCCCUUUUCGCCCAACUACCACCGCCGCCGCCCAGCCGCCACCAUUGCCCACCACUGCCUAUUCCGGCCAACCACUGCCACCUGCUACCAUCCAAUUACAAAUCUGAUUAUAAAAAAUUAAAAAUAAAAAAAAAGUCAAAGUAAAAACAAAAACUACAUCAAAGAGUUGAAAAAUCAACUUAUAAAAACUAAAAAAUAACUAGAAAAUUCAAAUAACAAUUUGAUCAAGAAUAUACUCAACAACAGAAAAACUGAGGAGGAUGUUGUAGGCUUUUUCGUGGCAUGCGUCCAUGGCGAAAUCUUUGGCGAAGCGUUCAUGGCGCGCCAGCUUCUAGAAGAGUCUUGAUGGCGUCUCCAUGGCCCAGCUUGGCCGCGUGCAUCAGCGGGGUGAGGCGGCCGCCGUCGAAGUACGAAACAUCACCUCCGAUUUCGAUUAAAGUUUUCAGCUCUAAAGAAACCAAGUUCAUGAAUUUGGGUUACGUCAUGGACGCGGCUCUGGUGCCAUCGUCGUUCCCGCCCGGUACGGACCCGAACGUGGUGGUUUGCUUUUAGAUGGCAAAUCCAGACGGCAGUGGCUUCAUCGUGACAAGGAGUUGCAGAGAGCUCUGUCGUCGCAUAACAGAGGAUGAGAUAUGAUUUGGCUAAGGCUUUUAAACAAAAAAGGUAAAAUUGUAUUUUACCUUUGUAGUUUAGACAAGCCCAACAAAUAUGGUCCUCUUUGGCCAAAUUCAAAACAAAAUUUAAUUCCUAUGUAUCAAAAUCCAAACAGAAAUACUAUAGGUAUCGAAUCUCUAUUAGUAAAGACUCUUAUGAUUAAUACCUUUUCUUUUUCUUUUUUUUUGUUCCGACACUUUCAAAGUUUUGGUCCAAAUAAAUAAAAGUCACCUUCAAAGUCGACUCCAAUCCAAUAAAAUAUGAAAAUUAUUUUUCACCAUGUCACUGAUCGGUUUAAUAACAAAAGCAGAAAGUGAUUAAUUGCCGGGUUUUUCCAUAAUUCGCUUGAAUGCAACUUAAUAAUUGGUGAGAUUGACAGGCCUUCCCCUCUACUCAUGCGCACUGAUGAAGGAGAGGUUGAAUGGACCUCCCCUUUUUUUUUUGGUAAAUAAAAUAAAAACAAGUCCCACAACUCUGUUUUGUGUUUGCUAAUGCUAUUGACCGACUAAACCAAACCUUCUACACGACACGACUUUCAUCACCUUCUCCUGCAAGUCUAUAAAAUUGACACCCCCGACUUUGAAUGGGUUCAAAAGUAAAGUCCAAAACCAAGGGUAAAGGCUGGGGCAGGCUCAUAGAGAACAUGCCCCUCCUUUGUUACUAUUAGACUAUUAUUCAACACCAUAAGGUCGGAAGGCACCGUCCAUGUUCCAACUUGGCAACUUUCUAUAACUUUGAAUAAAACAUCAUUUUAAUAACCUCUGGAAUUCUUUUCCCCUAUAAAUAUAUGUGUCCACUCUUCCCUUCCCUAAGUUGUAUGCUACUACUUCAUUUGGUGACUUUGUCUACAUCGAUCUUCUUCCCUUUUCAAAACCCAUAUCCACAUUUCUAGAUCUCUCUCUGAAACUUCUACACCAUCAUCAAUCCAUCACCAUGGUUCUCUCAAAGACUGCUUCGGAGUCGGAUGUCUCUGUCCACUCAACCUUCGCUUCUCGAUAUGUUCGAACUUCUCUCCCCAGGUAAUUUUAGAUUCACAUUCUAACAAACAUAAAACACUUUAACAGCAAAAGAAAUCUUUCUCUUUAUGGAUGCAUGAUUCAUAUUUAAUUUGAUCAUCGAUGUUAUUGCCGAUGAAUUCAUACUUUUGAUCGAUCAUGCAGAUUCAAAAUGGCGGAAAACUCGAUCCCCAAGGAGGCAGCGUACCAGAUCAUAAACGACGAGCUUAUGUUGGACGGCAACCCGAGGCUGAAUCUGGCGUCGUUCGUGACCACAUGGAUGGAGCCUGAGUGCGAUAAACUGAUGAUGGCCUCCAUCAACAAGAACUACGUGGACAUGGAUGAAUACCCUGUCACCACUGAGCUCCAGGUAACCUCAUAUCUUCUUUUUCAUCCUCAUCAAAUCAUCAUCGUUUUGGAUCCAUUCCCGUUUUACAAUUUCUUAUAAUUAAUCACAUUUUCUUCAUAAUUUAAUGCGUACUAUGAGUGGAGUGUCCGACUGGGUGAGAAUUAGUCAAGGUUAUCAUAUAAUAUUGUUUGAAAAGCAAAUGCCUUGUUGGCCACGUCGUUCAUUUCAUUAAUGACUAGUCUUUUCGCACGCCUUUACAUAUCUGUCAAAGGUUUAUUUUUUAAAAAAUGUAAAUUUAUUUUAGAAUUAAAAAAUAAUAAUAGAUAGUUAAUUAUUUUUUAUUUAAAAUUAAUAAAAGAUAACAGGGUAGUUAUGUUCCAUAAAAGUAGGAUCUAUUAUCUUAUUUUGUUUUUAAUUUUAAUUUUUUUAAUAUUAAAAAAUGUGAAUUUACCAUAUUAUCCUCAUUUAAUUAAUAAUUUCAAUUCUUAAUGUUUGAAUUAACAAAUGAUAUUUCUGGUAUUUUGAAUGUUUCACCUUUUUCUGCCUUUUGCUUUAUAUAUAUAGAUUUACAUUAACUAAGAACAUUUUUCAGAAUUUUAAAUAUUUUACCGUUAUUUACUUUUUACUUUAUAUAUAUAGAUAUAUAUAGAUAUAGAUAAUAAUAAUAAUAAGCACGUAUCAUUAAAGAUAUAAAUAGAUUAUAGACUUGAGGAGUGACAUGCCAGCCAACCUCCACAUGCGAAUAAAUGAUUGGCCGUGGUGACAACUCAAAAAUCACUCUCAAACAGACUUUUGUAUUGCACUUCCAAUCAAUUGCCUUUUGUACUGCCUGUAGUCUUCAACUAGCUCUUAUUUUUAAAAGUAGAGGAAAAAAAACUUGCAAUUUGUGACCAAAAAUAAAAACCGCAAUUUCACCUGAAACCGCAAGUUCCCAAUUAUUGUACUGGCCACUGGGCAAAGUAAGUUUUUUUUACCUCCACCUAAUAUUCCCUUGUGGAUAGACUGAUGGAUUUUGACAUCAAAUAAGAGUCCACAACAUAUCUUGCAGUGUCGUGCGAAGCGCACUACGGAACAUUUGAAAAAUGAUAAUAGAAUUACAUGGAUGUUAGGAUUUGAAUUCAAAAUCUUGUUUGAAGAAGUAAUUACUUCAAAUCACUACAGUAAUAGGUGAUUGGCGAAACUAAUACUUUUGUAGUUGUAAAAUUAGAGAAAAAAGUAAACUCGGGGAAACUCAAUUAUUUUCCUAGGAUUUGACUUAUUGUUUCUAAAAUGAGUAAGAUAAUGUUUUUUUAAUGCUAAAGCAUCCUCAACUAGCUUUUGUUUCUAAAGUUAGUCAAACUUUAGUAAUAUGAUAAAGCAUCAUUAACUAGUUCUUGGUCCGUCCAUAAAAAUAUAAAAUAUUUCUUAGUCACAUCAAAGAGAUGACAAAUUCAAAGAAACAAAAUAAUACCCCAAACAAAAGAAAAACCAGAAAGAAAAAAGGAUGGUAUGAAUAAGUUGAAAGGUUGAAACAAUUAGCGUUGAUUUGGUCCACCCCGCAGUUUAUGCCAAGAUGCGUGGAAUAAAUUGGCUUCAUUAUUGCUCUCUCUGUCUCUCUCUCACUCAAAUGGGCAAGAAGGGACAGAGAGGACGAUUUCAGAUGUCAAAGUCCUGAAUGAGCCUAAUUUUGACUAGUAGAAAGAUGCGUCUAACAAAGUAUAGCAAAUGCUUCAUCGUUGAUCAUAAUAAUUGACGUAGUGAGUGAUACAUAAUUUGACAAACUAAUAUAUAUAUAUAGUCUAAAAUAACAGUCCCUCUAAUUGUAUCCUCCAAAUUCUAGGCUGCCAUUUUUGUAGGAAAAAGCUUAUGUAACUUCUAGCCUGUCAUCAAUCAUCAUGUUAAUUGAUAUGAUUAACAACUCAAAACACAGAUUAAUUCAGAGAGCUUUGUAUCUCAACUUACAGAAUAUGUUGGAUAUUUAGAGAUAAUUAAUGAUGUGUUGUAUUUUUGUGCAUGAUGUAUAUGAACACACAGAAUCGGUGCGUAAACAUCAUAGCUCAUCUCUUCAAUGCCCCAUUGGAGGAUUCAGAGUCCGCAGUUGGAGUGGGAACUGUGGGCUCUUCUGAAGCCAUCAUGUUGGCCGGCUUAGCUUUCAAGAGGAAGUGGCAGAACAAGAGGAGAGCUGAGGGCAAGCCCAUUGACAACCCCAACAUUGUCACCGGAGCCAAUGUCCAGGUAUUUAUAUAUGCUCAUCAUAUUUAUUUCAGCAAUUUUAAUAAAUAAAUAAAAAUAAAAUUCAACAAUGAUUGAUGUUAGGGACAAUAUAUUUUUAAACUACAUAAUUACAGUAAAUGAAUCGAAUUAUGUGACAUGUGUAAUCUAUUUGUUACAUUCUUUAUUUAUUAUGAUUAGUUGAUAAUUAAAACAUCGUCUGCCAACUAAUAUUGUUACUAUAUGGAUUAAUUGAAGGUGUGCUGGGAGAAAUUUGCAAGGUACUUUGAGGUGGAGUUGAAGGAGGUGAAGUUGAGGGAAGGAUACUAUGUAAUGGACCCUGAGAAAGCAGUGGAGAUGGUUGAUGAGAACACCAUCUGCGUCGCUGCUAUCCUUGGCUCCACUCUCAAUGGAGAAUUCGAAGAUGUUAAGCGCCUGAAUGAUCUCUUGGUAGAGAAGAACAAGGAAACUGGGUAUGUAAUCUCUCUCUCUCUCUCUCUCUCUCUCUCUCUCUCUCUCUCUCUCUCUGUUUUUAUCUUAUUUACUGAUGUGACACAUACCAUCACUUAUUAUGCAUAAAUAAAUGGCAUUCACAUGGUAAUCUUAGUUAUAAUGGAAUGAAAUGUUGUCACAUUAGUUGGAAUUCAAAAUAUUAGAAUAAGAGUUGGUGCUCUUAAAAUUAAUGACAAAGCUUUUUAAAUAUAUAUAUCCACAAAUUAAGACAAUAUGGAUCACGUCGACGCAUGUAUUAUUUUUUCGACCCUCUCUUCUCAAAUAAAACGGGACUCAUUUACACAGACGGGUCCUAUAUCUAUUACUGACUCAGUAUUGUUGAUGCAGUCUAAAUAACAUUACACAUGUGUAUAACACCUAACUUUGAUUAUUAUUAUUAUUUUUCCGCUUGCGUAGAUGGGAUACUCCAAUCCAUGUAGACGCAGCAAGUGGUGGGUUUAUUGCACCAUUUCUGUACCCAGAACUUGAGUGGGACUUCCGUUUGCCCUUAGUGAAGAGCAUCAAUGUUAGUGGGCACAAGUACGGACUUGUGUAUGCAGGAAUUGGGUGGGUCAUCUGGAGGAACAAAGAGGACUUGCCUGAGGAACUCAUCUUCCAUAUCAACUAUCUUGGAGCAGAUCAACCUACCUUCACCCUCAACUUCUCUAAAGGUACCUACUCUUUAAACUGUUCUCCUUAUUUUAUUGAUAUAUAUCAUAGCAGUUUUAAUACACUAUUCACAUUGGUAAAUGUCCAACUGUAGGCUGAGUUUUCAUGCUUUCCAUAAUGCAGGUUCCAGCCAAGUUAUUGCUCAAUAUUAUCAACUGAUUCGCUUGGGUUUUGAGGUUGGUACACUUAUAAAUUAUAAAUGAAAUUUGAAGAUUUUUUCCUUCCUUCAUUCUAAUUAAGAUAGUUUAUCAAGAAAGGGUCCACUAGCGUUGCCUUUCACACUAAGCAAGCAAGCUACCAAAUAAAUGUCCAUGUCAAAUAGUUAACAAGCUACAUGUCAAUUUCGUGAUCUGUAUUUAGAGAUCAUUCUUAUAAAAAAUUAGCCAAAUCAAGAAUUAUAAAGACAUCUAAUUGUGAUAAGAUAAGUAGACGAAUGUAAUGUUCUCAUCAAACAUUGAAGUUUCAUGAUAAUAAUCGCUAUUCUAUAACAAAAAGCUUGGUGAUCAUAUCAUCUGAAGAUAUGUAUGACAUAAUUAAUUGAAUUUUGUGCAUGUAAACCAGGGGUACAGGAAUGUCAUGGAAAACUGUCGUGAAAACAUGAUAGUACUAAAAGAAGGAUUGGAGAAGACAGAGCGCUUCAACAUAGUCUCUAAAGACGAAGGGGUACCAUUAGUGGCCUUCUCUUUGAGGGACAACCACCGCCAUGACGAGUUCGAAAUCUCUGACUUGCUUCGCCGCUUCGGAUGGAUUGUCCCUGCCUACACCAUGCCUCCAGAUGCGCAACAUGUCACAGUUUUGCGCGUGGUGAUUAGAGAAGACUUCUCUCACACUUUGGCGGAGCGCCUAGUGAAUGAUAUCCAGAAAGUGUUGCAUGAACUAGACACACUUCCAUCUAAGCUUAGCUCUAAUGUGAAGGCUGCCGACGGAGAGGAUGGGAAACCUGCAGAGACGAGGGCACUUGAGAGUAAGAAGAGUGAUUUGGAAAAGACAAGGGAGAUCACAACAAUUUGGAGGAAGUUUGUUACGGCCAGGAAGCAGAAGAUGAAUGUUGUUUGUUAGAAAGUGUCUGGUUUUUGCUACUCUAAUUAAUUAUUAACUUUGCUAAAAUUGAGUGUGUACUUGUAUGUGCUUUCAAUUGGAGUGGGAGUGAGCGUCCUUUUUGUAUCGCGUGUGACAAUUUCUUUUGCUCAAAUUUGAUGCCUAAUGAGUAGUUUUACACCCUUUAUUAUUUUGUAUGAUCAAAUUUUUGACAAGUUAGCUCGUGGUCUAACAUAAUUCUCUCUCAAAUAGUGAAGAUGCCUCGAGUUCAAAGUUCCCUUCGCCUGUUGAUGAAACAAAACCAACCAAAUUGUGAAAUACAGAAAUUUGGGCUUAUAGAUUCAUUUGCCCCACUGUGAGCCCGAUUAGACACUGAAAAUUGGAAAGAAAGAGACACUGCUUCAAAAAGCCUUAAGUCGUCACAAACCAACCAGCAUCAGUCUAACUAUUUUGUGGAUGUGGGCAUGGUAGGCCAUCCUUGUUUAGAAUGCUUGUCAGAGAGGGUGGACGUCGGUCAACCCAGACAAAAGAGCGCAUCCUCAAGGAAGAUAGCUUGGCCAAGUUGGCGGUUCUGGGAGAAUCCAUCCAUUGGUCUUUGGUUUUCCUAGAGCCUCCCAGCUAAGCCAAUGAAUUUGUUUCUCCCUUCCUGAUUGGCCCCACCAGAAGUUGGAUGGCAAGGAGUCAAUUUCUCUACAUACAGAUUUGGGAAAUAAGAAAAUAUUCAUAGGUUAUUGAGGGACAGCUUGCGUCGUUGCCUUUAGAAGGACCUCACGACCAGCUUGACACAAAAGUUGUUGUUUCCAGCCCUGAAUUUUCAACAAAAUCCUUCCUUUUAUGUAGAGCAAAGCUUCACGUUUGGCUCUUCCCCAAAUGGUAGAAAGACCAAGGUAUUUUCAUGGGCCAUCGACCUCUGGCAUACUAAAAACACCUCAAAUCUCAUCGCAAAUAUUCCCUAGAGUGUUGAAGCUGAAGUAUAGGGUGGAUUUGGAGAAGUUUACUCAUUGUCCAGAGGCAUUACAAUAUGCAUUAAGUAGGUGGACCAGAUUCCUGUUAUUUUGCACUGAAGCUUUCAGAAAAAUUAGAGUAUCAUCAGCAAACAUCAAGUGGGAAAUUGUGGGGGCAGUGUGACUGAGUCUGAUUCCCUGCAAAACACCAGUUAAACAGGCUUUUUGGAUCAUCAGAGAAAGCACUUCACUUACAAAGAGGAAAAGGUAGGGCGAGAUAGGAUCACCCUGCCUUAAACCUCAAGACGGCUUAAAGCUCCAACUUGGAUGACCACCCAGAAGCAUCGCAAGUUGAACAGUAGUUACACAACUCAUCACCAAUUGGAUUCAAGAGGAAGCAAAGCCCAUCUUCUGAUGUUGUCCUGAAUCUAACAAUCAGAGAUUAAGCUAGGCAAAAGAGGCUUGAGCCGAUUUGCCAGGAUUUUGGAGAGGAUUUUGUAUGAAAAAUUGCAGAGACUAAUAGGGCGGAAUUGUGAGACAAAUUCUGGACAUGUAGUUUUAGGGANNNNNNNNNNNNNNNNNNNNNNNNNNNNNNNNNNNNNNNNNNNNNNNNNNNNNNNNNNNNNNNNNNNNNNNNNNNNNNNNNNNNNNNNNNNNNNNNNNNNNNNNNNNNNNNNNNNNNNNNNNNNNNNNNNNNNNNNNNNNNNNNNNNNNNNNNNNNNNGGAAAGCAGCUCCUGGUCUAACUAAUUCUCUCUCAAAUAAUGAAGAGGCCUAGAGUUCAAAGUCCCCUUCUUCUGUUCAUUAAAAAAAAGCAACCAAAUUGUGAAAUACAGAAAUUUGGGCCAUGUUGCCUCACUGUGAGCCUGAUUAAUUAGACACUGAAAACUCUUCCCACGGUGAAGGGGAAUUAGUUGAUAAUUUGUAGGGAAAAAUAUCAAUCACUUCAAAAUUAUCCUUACACUCGAGAUUCUAAGUUCGAUUUUCACCAUUCCCCUAAUAUCGUUUGUUAAAAAAUGGAAUACAGCAAUUGGAAUGUACUACAAAGGAAUAAUAGUAAUUAUAAAAAUAUAUAUAAAAAAAACUUAGCCAAAGAGAAUAAAUAAAGUUGAACAAUCAUAAAGUCCACUCGCAUCAAUCCAAAAAAUAGAAAAUAAAACAACUAAAAUAACAAAAGAAAAAGAACACAUCUAGGCCUAAUAUCCCUUGAAGUUUCCAGUGUACAAGUACUCCUCCUUUGCAGAUAGAGACCUAAACUUCUAGAUAUCAUGAAAUGGGCACGAUUUAGGGUUUGGAUGAUGGCGUGCUCUUCACCACUGUAACUGGACAUGAAGCAUUAGUCACCACAUAGUUGCUGACACUGCCAAGCAACACCCUGCAGGGUUUAGGCAUCAAUUUCCAAUCAAUCAGAUAUAUAGAACAUUCCUAAUUCCUUUGACUAAAAUGUUACAAUACUUCUUCAGAAAAUUAGUGAUUAUGGACCUAACCAACAAUUUCGUGGCGAUGAGAAUAACUAUAUUGCUAUGAUGUCUUUUGAGUUUGUGCUUUCAUUUAUUUUGUCAAGUGUUUCAGACAAAAACUGAAGAUAUUGUAAGUGCUUUAAACUUUGUUGAAAACACAAAAUCACAGUUCUAAGAUAUGAGGGCACAUGGCUGGGAUGAUUUAUUCAUGAGCGUGGUAUCAUUUUGUGAAUGACAUAGUAUUGAUGUUCAUGAUAUGAGUUUUCAUUAUAUGAUUGGCACACGUCGUUCUUGUUUUGUUACAGUUGAACAUUAUUAUCGCGGUGAUGUAUUUAAUGAUGUGAUAGAUUACAUGUUGAGGGAGUUAAAUGACAGAUUUUUAGAGCGAAGAGUUGAACUUCUUAUUCUUAGCUCAGCAUUGGAUCCUUAUAAUUCCUUCAAAUAAUUCAAAAUUGAGCAUCUACAUAAACUUGUUGAGAAAUUCUAUCCUACUGAUUUCAGUCCAAGUGACUUGAAAGCUUUAGAAAUUGAGUUGAAGUAUUUUCAAAAUGAUAUGCAUUGCCUUCCCUACUUUAAGGACCUCAGCACUCUUCCUCAGUUAUGUCAACAAUUGGCGGAAACAACUUUAGCAGAAAACUACUAUUUGCUUUACAUGUUGAUUCAGUUGGUGUUGACUCUUCCUAUUUCUACAGUAACAACGGAACGAGCUUUUUCAUGUAUGAGAAUUAUUAAGAAUAGACUUCGGAGCACCAUAGCUGAUGAAUUCCUUGCUGAUUGCAUGAUUCUCCACAUUGAAAGAAAGUUUGCUAAUAAUAUCGACAAUGAAGAUAUAAUUGAGGAAUUUAAAAUUUCUAAGCCUUAUAGGGUAAAGUUUUAGAUUUAAAUAGUUUAUUUUGUAUUACAUUGCAUUUACUUCUUGUUUUUUUUUGUUAAGCUUUUAUUUAUGUAUAGAUAUGCAUAUUUGAGGGUAAGGCUCAUUACGUCCCCCCUGACUAGGUGUAUCUUUUUAUUUUUAUGAAUAAAAUUCAUUCGUACCGUUGACUUUUUAAGGUAAGUUUCGCCUACUUGACUUUUGAAUCUUGGAUCCGCCACUGAUGGUGAUACCACUAUUAUUGCUUAAGUGCAUUCAUCCACAACAGAAUCCACUCACUAAACUAAAGUUGAAUAAAAGAAGUGAUACAGUGGUGAUAAAGCAGUGAUAAAAUGGUGAGAAAGAAGUGAUACAGUAGUGAUAAAGGAGUGAUACAAAAUGCUGAUUGUAUUUACCUUUAGCUUCUUGUUUUAUAUUUAAAUAAUAAAAUAAAUAUAAAUAUCGGAUCGGUACGGGUUUUCGUCAGGUUAGGAAUUUUGUUUUCGUUAACCAAACCAAACAUUUCGGUACGGAUCGGAUCAGAAUAAUUAAAAUUAAAAAAUAUUUAUUUAAUCAAACCAAACCAAACCGUCGGUACGAUAUGAUGGUACACGAAUAAUUCGGAUAAGAUGUCUACCCCUGUAUAUAUACAUAAAGAGACACCUAAAAACAAACGGUACUUCUUAGUCCAAGCACGUGCAAGAAUAAAGCAUAAAUUCGGGUGCAAGUUGCUCUUUUACAUUAAUAUCCAUUAGUCAUGAUGCUCCCAAUAAUUUGUACUUUAAUGGAUCCUCAAUCUCAAGACACAUUUUUUUUAUACACUUUUGUAAUGGUUACUCACAAGCUUCUCCAUGUAUAAAUUAUUGCAUCUAGAAUGUGAACAUUUUACUCGUUAUAGUUUAGCGUGAUUUGUAACGUAUGCAUAUAAUUAUAAGUGUGAUUUAUCGUAAUUUUAUUUUCUUUAAUAAAGUAACUUCAUUUUUUGCUUUAUCCAAACAACACUGUGCAUGCAUGUCGAUUAGCUAUAAAAAAAAAAUAAUGAACUGUAAUAUCGGAAGUAUUAAAUCUCAAAUAAUAUAAAUACUAACAAAUUUAGACAUAAGAACUUUUUCUUUUGUUAGAUGAGAUAUGCACAACAGCAAUUCAGGAAUUUGCCUACGCUGCCAAAGAAGUUGAACAUGAAGCGUAGAUGUAAUCAGAAAUUUCGUCGAAACUGUUUUUUAUUUUAUAUACUAGUUCUUUAAUAACAUUGCGUUAAUUAAAUUGAAAAGUUGAAUACGACACAAAUUAUUAAAAUAACAAUAAAUUUUUUCAAAUUACCACAUAAGUUAACAAUAUUUGAAAUAUUUAAUUUGCUAUUACCGUUAGAGAUGCAUAUAAAGUAUGAUUGUAAUUAGAACAAACCUAAGAGGUAUGACUGAAACUCUUCCUUUUUACAGUUGUUUCCAAUCCAAACUACUUCGCAAGAAAACUUGACUGGUUUAAUGUUUGCAGUCAAAUUGAUUCACCUGUCAAUGGGUACCAAAGGCCCGAAUGCUACAAACCCACGCAAAUUAAACAAUAUUUUUGAAACUACGUCGGUUUGAUCCCAUCAAGGGUAUGUACUGAUGUGAGAGAGCUUGAAUAGCUCUCCCCUUCUUUUUGUCUAUAAAGCUAACUCCCGACCUUGAAUGGGUUCAAAAGCAAAGUCCAAAACCAUGGGUCCACUGUUCCCUUCCCUAGUUGUAUACUACUACUACUUCAUUUGUGACUUGUUUAGAUCGAUCUUCUUCCCUCCUCAAAACCCUUAUCCACAGUCACAUUUCUAGAUCUUUGAAACUAGUACACCAUUAUCAAUCCAUCACCAUGGUUCUCUCAAAAAUUGCAUCGGAGUCGGAUGUCUUCGUCCACUCAACCUUCGCUUCUCGAUACGUUCGAACUUCUUUUCCCAGGUAAUUUUAGAUUCACAGUCUGACAACAUAAAAUACUUUAACAACAGCAAAAGUCUUGAUAUUUAGUUUCAUCGUUGAUGUCAUGCGGAUGAAUUGGUUAAAUGGAUGGAUGAUAUUUAUCGAUCAUGCAGGUUCAAAAUGGCCGAAAACUCGAUCCCAAAGGAGGCAGCAUACCAGAUCAUAAACGACGAGCUUAUGUUGGACGGCAACCCGAGGCUGAAUCUGGCGUCGUUCGUAACGACGUGGAUGGAGCCUGAGUGCGACAAACUGAUGAUGGCCUCCAUCAACAAGAACUACGUGGACAUGGAUGAAUACCCCGUCACCACUGAGCUCCAGGUAACCCCAUAUCUUCUUUUGUCAUCCUCAUCUCAAAACAUCGUCGUUUUGGAUCCAUUCCCGUUUUACAAUUUUUUUAAUAAUUAAUAUCACAUUUGCUUCAUAAAUUAAUACGUAAUCUAUGAGUGGAGUGGGUAGAAUCUAGAGUGGAGUUGGUGAGAAUUAAUAUACAAUUAACGUAUAAUAUCAUAAGGGCGGCGACUUUAAUAAUUAAAAAAAAGAAAGAAAGCAGAGGCCCUGCUGACAAUGGCGUUCAUUUCAUUAUUUGUUUAAUUAAUAAUAAGCAUGUAUCAUUAAAGAUUAAAAAAUAGAAAUGAGGAGGAGUGAGAUGCCAGCCAGCCAUCCUCCACAUGCUAAGGCCUGAUUUGUGGUUUUUUGAGAAAGCUUGUAAAACUCCAUCGGCAAUUUUCAUCUCUUGUAACAUUGGGAAUAUGAAGGUCAAAUUAAAAAAUAUAUACAUUUACACUUCCAAUGAAUUGCCUUAUUUAUUUUACUGGGCAUUUAGGUCACCCGAGGUAAGUUUGUUUUGGACAAUUACCCUUACGUACAUGCAUUGGAGGUAAGUGCUUCAGUUUCUGAGUUGUGUACUGUACCUAAUAUUCCUAUGCGGAAUGCGGAUAGACUGACGGAUUCUUUUUUGGUCGGUAAUGACUGACUGAUUUUGACAUCAAAUAAGACAAAAUCAUGUUGUGCGCGAAUCAUUAAGAUAUUUAAUUGAGAUUAAAUCGAUAUUCAGCAUGGAAAGGUAGAAAUUAGAGUUGAUUGGGUCCACAGUUUAUGCCGAGAUGCGUGUGGAAUAAAUUGGCUUUGAUUCCAUCCACGAUUUUUAAAAUCAAUAAAAGAAGAUAAACAAGUGGGCAGUUUUAGGUGGGGAUGGAAUGGAUGGUCCAUAAAUUUCUGAUAAUUUCUUCCUUGGUAAAGUUGGUAGCUAGCUUCCGUUAGAAGCGUCACGCGUACAUUGAUUUCUCCAUCCAUCACAUUUGGAUCUAGCGGCAAGAUGUCGAUAUCAACACUAAAAUGUAAUAAAAUAAUAAUUUAAUUUAACAUAUCGGAUGAAGUGUAAAGCUGUAUAAGAUGUCAAAUUACCACAUCAACCAUCAAAUUUAAAUUUGAUGUUUGAUAUUUGCCAUAUCUCUUGGAGAUGUUCUAAUUCGACAAACUAAUAUACUCUAAUUGUAUCUUCCAACUUCUAGGCUGUCAUUUUUGUAACGUUUAACUAGGAAAGAGCUUUUUGUGCAAAUACCAAUUGAUGAUACCCAGGCAUGUCAUCAUGUUAAUUGAUAUGAUUAACGAAGAAAGCUUUUAUCUUGAUUAAAAAUUAAUCUCAACUUACACAUUAUGUUGGAUGUUUAGAGCUAAUUAAUAUCAUGUGUUGUAUUUUUGUGCAUGAUAUAUAUGAACACACAAGAAUCGGUGCGUAAACAUCAUAGCUCAUCUAUUCAAUGCCCCAUUGGGGGAGUCAGAGUCCGCAGUUGGAGUGGGAACUGUGGGCUCUUCUGAAGCCAUCAUGUUGGCCGGCUUAGCUUUCAAGAGGAAAUGGCAGAACAAGAGGAGAGCUGAGGGCAAGCCCACUGACAACCCCAACAUUGUCACUGGAGCCAAUGUCCAGGUAUUUAUAUAUGCUCAUCAUAUUUAUUUCAGCAAUUUUAAUAAAUAAAUAAAAAUAAAAUUCAACAAUGAUUGAUGUUAGGGACAAUAUAUUUUUAAACUACAUAAUUACAGUAAGUGAAUCGAAUUAUGUGACAUGUGUAAUCUAUUAGUUACAUUCCUUAUUUAUUAUGAUUAGUUGAUAAUUAAAACAUCGUCUGCCACAUAAUGUAAACGUAAUUUAAGUAGCUAUAAUCGAAUAUUAGGAAAAUUUAGUACCUUAGCAUUGCAAUCAACCAAACUAAUAUUGUUACUGUAUGGAUUAAUUGAAGGUGUGCUGGGAGAAAUUUGCAAGGUACUUUGAGGUGGAGUUAAAGGAGGUGAAAUUGAGGGAAGGAUACUAUGUAAUGGACCCUGAGAAGGCAGUGGAGAUGGUUGAUGAGAACACCAUCUGCGUCGCUGCUAUCCUUGGCUCCACUCUCAAUGGAGAAUUCGAAGAUGUUAAGCGCCUGAAUGAUCUCUUGGUAGAGAAGAACAAGGAAACUGGGUAUGUAAUCUCUCUCAAUUUUUAUCUUAUUUACUAAUGUGACACAUACCAUCACUUAUUAUGCAUAAAUAAAUGGCAUUCACAUGAUAAUAAACUUAGUUAUAAUCGAAUAAAAUGUUGUCACAUUAGUUAGAAUUCAAAAUAUUAGAAUAAGAUGUUGGUGCUCUCAAAAUUAAUGAGAAAGCUCUUCAAAUAUAUAUCUCUACAAAUUAAGACAAUAUGGAUCGCGUCGAAACAUAUAUCAUUUUUCUGACCAUCUCUUGUCAGAUAAAACGGGACUCAUUUACACAGCGGGUCCUAUAUCUAUUAGUGACUCAUCAGUAAUGUUGAUGUAGUCUAAAUAACAUUACUCGUGUAUACCACCUGACUUUGAUUUUUUUUUUCUUUUUUCUUUCGUUUGUGUAGAUGGGAUACUCCAAUCCAUGUAGACGCAGCAAGUGGUGGGUUUAUUGCACCAUUUUUGUACCCAGAACUUGAGUGGGACUUCCGUUUGCCCUUAGUGAAGAGCAUCAAUGUUAGUGGGCACAAGUACGGACUUGUGUAUGCAGGAAUUGGGUGGGUCAUCUGGAGGAACAAAGAGGACUUGCCUGAGGAACUCAUCUUCCAUAUCAACUAUCUUGGAGCAGAUCAACCUACCUUCACCCUCAACUUCUCUAAAGGUACCUACUCUUCAAACUGUCUUUAUUAUUUUAUUGAUAUAUCGUAGCAGUUUCAAUACACCAUUCACAUUGGUAAAUGUCCAACUGUAGACUGAGUUUUCAUGCUUUCCAUAAUGCAGGAUCCAGCCAAGUUAUUGCUCAAUAUUAUCAACUGAUUCGCUUGGGUUUUGAGGUAGGUAAACUAAUAAUUUAUAAAUGAAUAAUUUAUUCUUGUAAAUGUACCAAUCAAAAACUAUUAAGACAUCUAAUUGUGAUAACAUAAAUACACAAAUGCAAUGCUUACAGUAACCACUUCAUGAGAAUAAUCGAUAAUCCAUUAAAACAGCUUGGUGAUCAUAUCUUCUUUAUAUAUGUAUGACAUAAUAAAAUGAAUUUUGUGCAUGUAAACCAGGGGUAUAGGAAUGUCAUGGAAAACUGUCGCGAAAACAUGAUAGUACUAAAAGAAGGAUUGGAGAAGACAGCGCGCUUCAACAUAGUCUCUAAAGACGAAGGGGUACCAUUGGUGGCCUUCUCUUUGAGGGACAACCACCGCCAUGACGAGUUCGAAAUCUCUGACUUGCUCCGCCGCUUCGGAUGGAUUGUCCCUGCCUACACCAUGCCUCCAGAUGCGCAACAUGUCACAGUUUUGCGCGUCGUGAUUAGAGGAAGGACUUUCUCUCGCACUUUUGGCGGAGCGCCUAGUGAAUGAUAUCCAGAAAGUGUUGCAUGAACUAGACACACUUCCAUCCAAGCUUAGCUCCAAUGUGAAGGCUGCCGAUGGAGAGGAUGGCAAACCUGCAGAGACGAGGGCACUUGAGAGUAAGAAGUGUGAUUUGGAAAAGACAAGGGAGAUCACAACAAUUUGGAGGAAGUUUGUUACGGCCAGGAAGCAGAAGAUGAAUGUUGUUUGUUAGAAAGUG
rnacentral:lncRNA from 1 species